rnacentral:rRNA from 1 species
GGGGAAUUUUGGACAAUGGGGGAAACCCUGAUCCAGCCAUUCCGCGUGUGCGAUGAAGGCCUUCGGGUUGUAAAGCACUUUUGGCGGGAAAGAAAUCGGUCGAGAUAAUACCUUGAUCGGAUGACGGUACCCGCAGAAUAAGCACCGGCUAACUACGUGCCAGCAGCCGCGGUAAUACGUAGGGUGCAAGCGUUAAUCGGAAUUACUGGGCGUAAAGCGUGCGCAGGCGGUUCGGAAAGAAAGAUGUGAAAUCCCAGGGCUCAACCUUGGAACUGCAUUUUUAACUACCGGGCUAGAGUAUGUCAGAGGGAGGUGGAAUUCCGCGUGUAGCAGUGAAAUGCGUAGAUAUGCGGAGGAACACCGAUGGCGAAGGCAGCCUCCUGGGAUAAUACUGACGCUCAGGCACGAAAGCGUGGGGAGCAAAC